CCAGUUCAAAGUAACUAGUGCAAUCAUUCCAGGUACAAAAUCACUAGUCAGUAGUGUAAUAAUUCCUGGUUCAAAAUCACUAGUGUUAUUGUAAGCCAUAAUAGUGUCCUGUGAAAAAGUGUCCAGUUGGACAGUUUUUCAUAGAAUUUUGGUAUUUAAUAAUGUCCAUUGCCAUGAUAUAUUGUCCCUCAAGUAGACAGAUUUUUACUGCAAAAGUUAUGAAAUAGUGUCCACCCACAGGACAAGUUUUCAUACUAGUUGCUAUUAAAUUGUGUCCUCCAAGGGAAGUAAUACAAAGGUCAUUAAAAAGUUUUAUUGUACUUGAAAUUUUAAUAAAAUCAGAAGGAUUGAGUAGAAAUUGAUUUAUAUAAACAAACAAAUAAUGGAUGGAAGUGAAUAUAGAUACAUUUAAGUUCUAAGAAAUACCCAGCUAAUGCUAAUAACAAUGAAAGAAGAACAAUAAGAAGGGAGUGUGUAAAGUAUAAAAUCAAAUCUCCGUGCCUAGACUGCAGUUUUUGGCAAUUCUCAACAUUAGGAAAGAAAACUUGAAAGAAAACUUGAAACAGCAACCAAGAUACAGAUACAUGUACAGAUGCCCUUAAAGUUUUUGAUGAAGUUAAGAGCAAGAUACUAUCCCAUCCAGCAGUGAUACGGUAUGACCAAUUCCCAGACAAUAUGACAAAGAAUAACAAUUGGACACCAACAGUUCACAUAUGAGAAGAUGUUUUUAGGACUUCAUACAUGUACAGGAGCUUCUAAGGAGGAAUUGAAAAGAAGAUUGCAUUAUCCUUAACUUCACAUUUUGCUAUAAAGAUGAUUUCCUUUUAUUGAAUAAUUCAAAGAAUGGUGACUUUGUUGAACGCAUGUAUCCCAUUGAACUUGAAAUAAAGGAUUCAACAGAUACAGGUGAAUCCUUGCUGGGUCAUUGAAAAACCUACUGGAAGUUCUUCUGAUACUGGAAAUUGAAAACAAAUGGUCAUUUUGGAAGAAAAUUGAUAGAGGAAAGAUACAGAUAUACAAGAAUUUCAUAUUUGAAAUGCACUUAAUAUUUCUUUUGUAUAUGAUCACCAAAUUUUGGCAGUCAAAUAAGGCCAAUUAAAAUUAAUUGAUAGAUUUUCAUCCCCGCCUGCCCCUCUGAAAAUG